AGCUUUGUGCAGUGGCAGUAUCGUAGCCAAUGAGGUUUAUCCGAGACACGAUUAUUACUAAUUGAAAACUAAAUGUUAAAUUUUCAUCUUUCCAGAAAAAUCCACUAAAUCCUUUAAAUCCCUGGAAUACUUUCAAUGCCCUUUAAAGU
ensembl:snRNA U4 U4 spliceosomal RNA